rnacentral:rRNA from 1 species
CCUACGGGUGGCAGCAGUGAGGAAUAUUGGUCAAUGGACGAGAGUCUGAACCAGCCAAGUAGCGUGAAGGAUGACUGCCCUAUGGGUUGUAAACUUCUUUUAUAUGGGAAUAAAAUGUUCCACGUGUGGGAUUUUGUAUGUACCCUAUGAAUAAAGAUCGGCUCAUUCCGUGCCAGCAUCCGCGGUAAUACAGAGGAUCCGAGGUUGAUCCGGAUUUAUUGGGUUUACAGGGAGCGUAGGUGGACUGUUAAGUCAGUUGUGAAAGUUUGCGGCUCAACCGUAAAAUUGCAGUUGAAACUGGCAGUCUUGAGUACAGUAGAGGUUGGCGGAAUUCGUGGUGUAGCGGUGAAAUGCUUAGAUAUCACGAAGAACUCCGAUCGCGAAGGCAGCUCACUGGACUGCAACUGACACUGAGGCUCGAAAGUGUGGGUAUCAAACAGGAUUAGAUACCCCAGUAGUC